CAUCACUUCUUGACCUCGUGCUCCGUACAGCGGAUUCCAAGAUACCAUUUACCAAUGUCUAGCGAUAAUGAACAAUUCCGCGAUGCAUUGGAGAAUACGUGUCAGCGACUGAGGGAUUGUCGCACAAGUGAUACUCCAGCUCUUGGUACAAUCGCAAUCACCCUUGAAAUCUUAGUUGAGUCCGCUCUUCUAAAUGGUGGGGUACCAUUGCAAGUUUGCGAUUUAAUAAAUGAAGCUCGUCAGCUCUUACAGAGGGAAAAUGAACGUGAUCCAAAUUCAACAUGUGCCACUGAGGAGAGUUACCAGGCCCCGAUUAUAAGUUCAGGGGGACGCAGAGGAAGGCCAAGAUUCUCGAUAUCAUGCGAGCAGCUCACGUUUGCCCUGAACAUUCCAUUUUAUUAUAUAGAUGAUUUCUAACACGCGUUCUGAUUGGCCAAAAAGGUGUGGUUUAUGAGAGUAUAAACCACGGCUGAGCCUUAUUUAUUUGUUAAGUAAAUGCUAUAAAUAAUUCCAGUUAUGAAAUAAAGUUUUGUUUUUAAUUAUUAUUAUUUUUUUUUUACAGAAAACGACUUUACCAACAAAGAUAUAGCCUUAAUGCUUGGAGUUAGUAAGAGAACGAUAGAGAACAGAAUGAGGGAAUAUGAACUCACCAAUACAUCUAGAUAUAGUGACAUACAUGAUGACAUACUUGAUGCACACGUUCAGCGUAUAUUAACAAAUUUUCCUCGUUCAGGUGUGAUACUAUUCUACAUUCCGAAAUUCAAAAAGGGACUGGUGACUAGUCACAAACUCGAUACCGGAGCGCUUGAAGCAAUGAAAAAUCAGACAGGAAAAGAACGAGCUCAUGUAAAGUUGCUGAGUUUGAGCUUAUUCGAAUUAAUAAUUACAAAGUAGCAAGCGUUUAAAACUAUAUAAAAUCACAAUGAGUGUAUGUAUUCCCAAAAAUCCAUACAUUCUCUCUUAUUUUUACAAAUUUCAGAAAAUUCCUACU